AUACGAAGGGGGCUAGCGUUGUUCGGAAUUACUGGGCGUAAAGCGCGCGUAGGCGGACUGAUCAGUUGGGGGUGAAAUCCCAGGGCUUAACCCUGGAACUGCCUCCAAUACUGUCAGUCUUGAGUUCGGGAGAGGUGAGUGGAAUUCCUAGUGUAGAGGUGAAAUUCGUAGAUAUUAGGAAGAACACCAGUGGCGAAGGCGGCUCACUGGCCCGAUACUGACGCUGAGGCGCGAAAGCGUGGGGAGCAAGCAGGAUUAGAAACCCCAGUAGUCC
rnacentral:rRNA from 1 species